rnacentral:rRNA from 1 species
UACGUAGGUGGCAAGCGUUGUCCGGAUUUACUGGGCGUAAAGGAGCGCGCAGGCGGUCGUUCAAGUCGCGUGUGCAAAGCCCCCGGCUCACGUGGGAUGGGUCACGCGAUACUGAUCGACUCGAAGGCGGGAGAGGGUAGUGGAAUUCCCGGUGUAGUGGUGAAAUGCGUAGAUAGUCGGGAGGAACACCAGUGGCAGAAGGCGACUACCUGGCCUGUUCUUGAGCGCUGAGGCGCGAAAGCUAGGGAGCAAACGGG